AUUGAACGCUGGCGGCAUGCCUUACACAUGCAAGUCGAACGGCAGCACGGGAGCAAUCCUGGUGGCGAGUGGCGAACGGGUGAGUAAUAUAUCGGAACGUGCCCAGUCGUGGGGAUAACGUAGCGAAAGCUACGCUAAUACCGCAUACGAUCUAUGGAUGAAAGCGGGGGAUCGCAAGACCUCGCGCGAUUGGAGCGGCCGAUAUCAGAUUAGGUAGUUGGUGAGGUAAAGGCUCACCAAGCCGACGAUCUGUAGCUGGUCUGAGAGGACGACCAGCCACACUGGGACUGAGACACGGCCCAGACUCCUACGGGAGGCAGCAGUGGGGAAUUUUUGGACAAUGGGCGCAAGCCUGAUCCAGCAAUAGCCGCGUGCAGGAUGAAGGCUCGUGU
rnacentral:rRNA from 1 species